AUUGAACGCUGGCGGCAUGCCUUACACAUGCAAGUCGAACGGUAACAGGUUAAGCUGACGAGUGGCGAACGGGUGAGUAAUACAUCGGAACGUGCCCAGUAGUGGGGGAUAGCCCGGCGAAAGCCGGAUUAAUACCGCAUACGACCUAAGGGUGAAAGGGGGGGAUCGCAAGACCUCUCGCUAUUGGAGCGGCCGAUGUCAGAUUAGCUAGUUGGUGGGGUAAAAGCUCACCAAGGCGACGAUCUGUAGCUGGUCUGAGAGGACGACCAGCCACACUGGGACUGAGACACGGCCCAGACUCCUACGGGAGGCAGCAGUGGGGAAUUUUGGACAAUGGGCGCAAGCCUGAUCCAGCCAUGCCGCGUGCGGGAAGAAGGCCUUCGGGUUGUAAAGCGCUUUUGUCAGGGAAGAAAUCCUUUGGGUUAAUACCUCGGGGGGAUGACGGUACCUGAAGAAUAAGCACCGGCUAACUACGUG
rnacentral:rRNA from 1 species